AAUAGACUUAUAGAACUGUAACGAGGAAUGGAUGAGUUAAUAUUUCUAAAGCAUUUGGAAUAGUGCUUGACACAUAGUAAGUGCUAUAUGAGUGCUUCUUAAAUAAGCAAAAUAAAAGUAUGUACCCAGAGGAAAAUUACUUGGCAAACAUACUUAGAAUGUAGCAAGAAACCAGGAUUUUAUUAGCAUAAGCUUCAGAACAACUCAAGUGUUGCUAAAUUUACAUUACAUUACAUAUUAAUGUAAUAACUAUUUUAAUGUAAUA
rnacentral:lncRNA from 1 species